rnacentral:lncRNA from 1 species
CUCCCCAUGGCUCCGGAGGAGGACUUGCUCUNUUCAAAAGAAAACAUCACUCCAUGGGAUGACAUCUUGAGUUCUUUCUAUCUCACAACAGUUUCUGGAGCCACUGUCCAUUUCCGAGGGUCCCUAGCAACUGCUACACCGUAAUUCCAGAUGCUUGGAAAAUUCAUUUCUUCUUUGGCCUCUGUUCCAUCAGCCACCUUCUCAACAAGAUACGUGCUUCUUGUGUCACCAACCAAGUUCAGCAAUCUUUUGCACU